rnacentral:lncRNA from 1 species
AAGAGGACUGAGCAUCUCAGCGGCCAUUAUCUCUUGGAUAGAAAACUGGUAGGACCUAAGGAGGGGACACUUACUGUGAUAAACCCAUGUGGGUCACAGCUUCUGAGAACAGGUUUGUGGAAUAACUAUGGGAGAAUGUGGAGGUGAGAGUACUCCAGAGAUGCAAGGCAGGAAAGACAACUUCAGAUUUAUGGCUCCUGACUGCCAGAGCCCUAUUUACUUAAAGCUCAUGAAGAAGAUGACAUCAUUGAGCUGAGUGCUGGGAUGAUUACAGAGGAAGAUGCCACCACUCUGGACUUUUACUUGGAAUCUGGGGAUUUGUAUACAGAUCCUCACAAGUGCAUAACAAGUGUUUUACAAACUGAGCUGUCACUCCAGCCUGAGAGCACUGAGAUUUUGACACUCAGUCUUGAACAUUGGGUUCACAGCAUCUCAGCUGACAGCACGUGGCAGAGGUUACAAGGAGCCAGGGUUCCUGGAGCAGGAGUCCUCGAGUUAAAACAAAUUGCCCACUGUUUCCACAAGGACUAAGUAAUGAUUGCCUCUUUCCUAGAAUACAAAACUGAAUUUGGAAAUCAAAGGUGAUUUUUUUUUUUUACCCCAUUUGAACAAACCGUUCAGUCCUGCAAAGAACUUUAGAAGAAACCUCAGUGGACCCUGGAGGCAAAACCCAAACAAGAACUAGUCUGCUCCCUUGUC